GAUGAACGCUGGCGGCGUGCCUAAUACAUGCAAGUCGAGCGAACAGAUGAGAAGCUUGCUUCUCUGAUGUUAGCGGCGGACGGGUGAGUAACACGUGGGUAACCUACCUAUAAGACUGGGAUAACUCCGGGAAACCGGGGCUAAUACCGGAUAAUAUUUUGAACCGCAUGGUUCAAUAGUGAAGGACGGUUUCGGCUGUCACUUAUAGAUGGACCCGCGCCGUAUUAGCUAGUUGGUAAGGUAACGGCUUACCAAGGCGACGAUACGUAGCCGACCUGAGAGGGUGAUCGGCCACACUGGAACUGAGACACGGUCCAGACUCCUACGGGAGGCAGCAGUAGGGAAUCUUCCGCAAUGGGCGAAAGCCUGACGGAGCAACGCCGCGUGAGUGAUGAAGGUCUUCGGAUCGUAAAACUCUGUUGUUAGGGAAGAACAAAUUUGUUAGUAACUGAACAAGUCUUGACGGUACCUAACCAGAAAGCCACGGCUAACUACGUGCCAGCAGCCGCGGUAAUACGUAGGUGGCAAGCGUUAUCCGGAAUUAUUGGGCGUAAAGCGCGCGUAGGCGGUUUCUUAAGUCUGAUGUGAAAGCCCACGGCUCAACCGUGGAGGGUCAUUGGAAACUGGGAAACUUGAGUGCAGAAGAGGAGAGUGGAAUUCCAUGUGUAGCGGUGAAAUGCGCAGAGAUAUGGAGGAACACCAGUGGCGAAGGCGGCUCUCUGGUCUGUAACUGACGCUGAUGUGCGAAAGCGUGGGGAUCAAACAGGAUUAGAUACCCUGGUAGUCCACGCCGUAAACGAUGAGUGCUAAGUGUUAGGGGGUUUCCGCCCCUUAGUGCUGCAGCUAACGCAUUAAGCACUCCGCCUGGGGAGUACGACCGCAAGGUUGAAACUCAAAGGAAUUGACGGGGACCCGCACAAGCGGUGGAGCAUGUGGUUUAAUUCGAAGCAACGCGAAGAACCUUACCAAAUCUUGACAUCCUUUGACCGCUCUAGAGAUAGAGUCUUCCCCUUCGGGGGACAAAGUGACAGGUGGUGCAUGGUUGUCGUCAGCUCGUGUCGUGAGAUGUUGGGUUAAGUCCCGCAACGAGCGCAACCCUUAAGCUUAGUUGCCAUCAUUAAGUUGGGCACUCUAGGUUGACUGCCGGUGACAAACCGGAGGAAGGUGGGGAUGACGUCAAAUCAUCAUGCCCCUUAUGAUUUGGGCUACACACGCGCUACAAUGGAUAAUACAAAGGGCAGCGAAUCCGCGAGGCCAAGCAAAUCCCAUAAAAUUAUUCUCAGUUCGGAUUGUAGUCUGCAACUCGACUACAUGAAGCUGGAAUCGCUAGUAAUCGUAGAUCAGCAUGCUACGGUGAAUACGUUCCCGGGUCU
rnacentral:rRNA from 1 species